UGUGGGGAGAAGGGGGGGUGGAAAGGUUUAUAUGAAGGCUGGGGCAGUUGCCGCGAUCAUAGGUGAAAAGAGAGGCAGUGCACUACUUGUUGCCAUGACCAGAGUUCUCUGUGUGAGCGUGAUCCUCGUGCUUCUGGCUGUUCUGUGGUGCGACCACACAGCCCAGUCUCAAAGAUCGUCGCUGAAGGGCACAUGGCUGUCCCCAUGCAAAUGCCACUUAACCCCCAAAAUGAAAGUGAUCUGCAAAAAGGGGUUGUCUCCAAAGGAACAAAGGGAGUUAGCACGCUGUAUGUGCAAUCAGCGGCACAAUAAUAUGUUAAUCAAUCACAGCCUUCAGAAAUUUUGCCAAAAAGUCAAAUUUUCCAUCCCACUCCCCCUGGCCUGAUGUAGUGGGGGGAGGGGAAUCUGAAGAAGGAGGCUGCAGGAAAGGGCUGGAAUCCUUAAUACCCAGCAUGCCUUUUCAUUCCCACAUGUUAUAGUGUCCAUCUUAAUUACUGUUGUCUCAUGCUCCAGUGUGUAUCUUAAAGGGUAGGUUGCUAUAACAUAUUAGCAUGUAAGCGGUGAAGCCAGCCUUUCCUGUAACACUGGCACCUAAAGCCAGCAUAUUGCAGAUUCGUUUAUCAGAUGCUAUAGAAUAGAUUGUCUUUUUUUGCACUUCAGCAGUUUGAACAAAUGUGAAAAUAUCAUAGUAUGAGCACCACUUAUAUUGCUAGAAAUUAUAGAGAUGAUUAUAUUGUUGUUAGUGAUUUCUAACUCUUCAGAUAAUGGCAUUAUGAAAAUGAAGCAUUUGAAUGUACUAUGAAUAAGCCUGUAGCCAAAUAAGUCUGUAUCUUUUGUGUUUUUUAUAGGAGCAUUUUGAGUUAAUAAAGUCUUUUUAUACUGAUAA